GGUAGGAACCCAGCAGGACUAAGCUUCUGCUCCCUGCCCCCGUGGGAGGGGGUGGGGCAGGGCGGAGAAGGGCAGGCCAGGCCAGGCCGUAUUUUUAAUGGCAUCCUGCUGCCUGCUAGGACCCCGGCAGGUAGCAGCCUGCCAUCGGUUGCCAACCCCUGCAGUAGAUGAUGCAUCUGAUUUGAUGACAUAUUAUCUGCUAUAUCUGAACACAGACACUAUAGUAGGAUUACCAUAUUUUGAGUGUCCAAAAAGAGGACACUCCACAGGGCCCCAGCCCCAACUCCACCCUUUCCCCAAAGUCCCCGCCCCAACUCCACCCCCUCCCCUGCUUCCUGCAAACAUUUGAUUCGUGGGAAACCUGAAGCAGGCAGCAGAGAGAUACUCAAGGGCUUCUUCUAUAUAGGAUGGCUUUCCUUUAUGUUUUGUCCAUACUUUCAAAAAGUGUUGAUGAUCAUAAUCAUCCCAGCCUCCUUGUCGUCCUCCUGUUUGCUGAAGGAACCUUUCAAAUUCUACUACUUCUUCAGGAAACUUAAUGCUGGUGAAAAGAAUGUGACUGAGAGCCUUUGUUUUCAGUCCUGCAACAGGAUGUGCAAUGAUGAGCCUUUACAAUCUCAUGGAGUCUUGAAGAGUGGAGAUAUGUCAGUAUCAGGUGAAGUCAGUGGGACUCCUAGCAGGUAUACAGGUCUGCCGGCAUGCUUCCCACGUGUGCAGCUUUUGGGGGUGGGGGGGAUUUCCCCCCAAACAGAGGCGAGGCAUGGGGGGGCACAUGGGGUUACAUGCCACUGCCCUCCUCAUUUCUGCAAAAGCAGAGCUGCCCAGCUCCGGUCUGGUCUCAGGCUCCACUGACUCUGCAGCUGAACACAACCUCCUGGGUCCUAGUGCCAGUUGUGCUCCCCUUCUGUGUUCUGGGAGCCUUCCUAUUUUCUGUGGAAUAGUGAGUUCCCACAGUGGGGCUGGGUAAGUGGGGGUGGAGGAAAUGAGGGAAGGGGGCUGAGUGGAGAAGGCAGUGGGGAAGGAAAGGAGGUGAAAUAGGGCAGGGGGAGGGGAAUAUGGGAGUGAGGGGAAGGGGAUGGAGAAAAAAAGGGGAUAGGGGAAUUACUGGGGUAAGCAGGAUCCUGGCAUGCGGCAUCCCCUUGGCAGCAGCUGGGGUCCCCCAUUAAGCAAGCCCAUCGAACCCUCACCCUGACAUACCAUACCCCCCUACACCUGGACCCUUCCGACAAGCCCCACACACGCAGAGCCCCACUGAGCCCCAACCAGCUGCACCUGGA